CUGGUUUCUCCUGAGAGGCUGUAGCAGCUUCUUUUGGUUUAUGCUGACCUAGUGUUGCAGGACCCCAGGGCUCCCUCAUGAACCUUCUCAGUGUGGAUUCAGUCUUCUCAGUGCAGAAAAAGUCUUGAAUGAGCUUUGGAAACUGGCAGUAGAAAAUGAGAUGGAGG
rnacentral:lncRNA from 1 species